rnacentral:rRNA from 1 species
GAUGAACGCUGGCGGCGUGCCUAAUACAUGCAAGUCGAGCGAACGGACGAGGAGCUUGCUCCUCUGACGUUAGCGGCGGACGGGUGAGUAACACGUGGAUAACCUACCUAUAAGACUGGGAUAACUUCGGGAAACCGGAGCUAAUACCGGAUAAUAUAUUGAACCGCAUGGUUCAAUAGUGAAAGACGGUUUUGCUGUCACUUAUAGAUGGAUCCGCGCCGCAUUAGCUAGUUGGUAAGGUAACGGCUUACCAAGGCAACGAUGCGUAGCCGACCUGAGAGGGUGAUCGGCCACACUGGAACUGAGGCACGGUCCAGACUCCUACGGGAGGCAGCAGUAGGGAAUCUUCCGCAAUGGGCGAAAGCCUGACGGAGCAACGCCGCGUGAGUGAUGAAGGUCUUCGGAUCGUAAAACUCUGUUAUUAGGGAAGAACAAAUGUGUAAGUAACUAUGCACGUCUUGACGGUACCUAAUCAGAAAGCCACGGCUAACUACGUG